rnacentral:rRNA from 1 species
CCCUUAGAUGUUCUGGGCCGCACGCGCGCUACACUGAUGACUUCAACGAGUUUUUUCUAUUUGGAAAUGUCCUUAACCGGAAGGUUUGGGUAAUCUUUUAAAUGGUCAUCGUGAUGGGGCUAGAUUCUUGCAAUUAUUAAUCUCCAACGGGGAAUUCCUAGUAAACGCAAGUCAUCAACUUGCAUUGAUUACGUCCCUGCCCUUUGUACACACCGCCCGUCGUACCUACCGAUUGGAUGGUCCGGUGAAGCCUCGGGAUUGUGGUUCUUGCCGCUUUAUUGUGGCGUGACCGCGAGAACUUGUCUAAACCUUAUCAUCUAGAGGAAGGUGAAGUCGUAACA